rnacentral:lncRNA from 1 species
CAAAGCCUCCUUUGAAGAGAAAACAUGAAGAACGGGGAAAGUAGCUGCCGCAUGCCAAUGUGAAACUCCGAGGAGUCUAGCCAUUCUGAUCUGGCCUUCCAGGUCAUUAGGAGGCUCUGCCAUCGUGUGAGGAGGGAAAGCCUGCUGUCUGGAGAGCACACUGGUCUCCAGCGUGGGGAGAGAGAGCACUUUCGGGCUUUGCUGAGGAGGGUCUUCAGAAAAAAGAGUACUGCCAACAAGAAGGCCCAAUCAAGAUCCUCCCACAACAAGAGCAGAUUGUGAGCGUGGCAAGCUCUAUGCUGAGCACUGGAAGGACAAAGAGAGAUUGGGCACAGACUUCUCACUGAUCCAGGUGAUGAAGAGCUCACAUCUGAGAGGAUGUGACCAUGGAUGACCCACCAGAAUGUCAUGGGAUCCAGCUACAGCCAAGGAAGCACAGAGCACCGUGGGAGCGAUUUAUUGUGCUUGGGGAUGGGGAAGGGGACAUGGGAGGAGCCAUAUUGAGAAAGUAGCAUGGGUACUUGGCUUCACAGAGUGUGGCAGCUUUCAUCAGGAAGUGAUGGUGGGGGAACAGCGUCUCUGGCGGAGGGAAGCAGCAGGUGCAGAGGUGCAGAGGUGUGAGGAGUCUGUCACAUUCUGGGAAGGGAGUAUGGUUGGGUGACAAUGCAAGACAGAGAAAGCAAGGAGGGAAGGAGGGGCCUAGCCUGAGGAAUAAAGAAUAAUAAAAGCAGGAAAACAAUUGCUGAGAGUUUGGAUACCUUUUUCUGGCCUUUCAUCUAAGCUUUGCUAGCCAGCCAAGAGAAAGCUGGCACUUCCCCUCCCCGAGCUUCCCUCGAAAGAGGAAGGGUUAAUUCAGAACAAGACAAAGAAA